rnacentral:rRNA from 1 species
AACGAACGCUGGCGGCAGGCCUAACACAUGUAAGUCGAGCGCCCCGCAAGGGGAGCGGCAGACGGGUGAGUAUCGCGUGGGAAUCUACCCAUCUCUACGGAAUAACGCAUGGAAACGUGUGCUAAUACCGUAUACGUCCUUCGGGAGAAAGAUUUAUCGGAGAUGGAUGAGCCCGCGUUGGAUUAGCUAGUUGGUGGGGUAAAGGCCUACCAAGGCGACGAUCCAUAGCUGGUCUGAGAGGAUGAUCAGCCACACUGGGACUGAGACACGGCCCAGACUCCUACGGGAGGCAGCAGUGGGGAAUAUUGGACAAUGGGCGCAAGCCUGAUCCAGCCAUGCCGCGUGAGUGAUGAAGGCCCUAGGGUUGUAAAGCUCUUUCACCGGUGAAGAUAAUGACGGUAACCGGAGAAGAAGCCCCGGCUAACUUCGUGCCAGCCGCCGCCGUAACAC